rnacentral:rRNA from 1 species
CGCUAGCCCCUUGAUUGACACAUGCAAGUCGAGGGGCAGCAUGAAGUUCUUUUGCAAACUUUGAUGGCGACCGGCGCACGGGUGAGUAACGCGUAUCCAACCUUCCCCUUACUAGGGAAUAGCCCGGCGAAAGUCGGAUUAAUGCCCUAUGUUCUCCUUUGCGGGCAUCUAACGAGGAGCAAAGAUUCAUCGGUAAGGGAUGGGGAUGCGUCUGAUUAGCCAGUUGGCGGGGUAACGGCCCACCAAGGCGACGAUCAGUAGGGGUUCUGAGAGGAAGGUCCCCCACAUUGGUACUGAGACACGGACCAAACUCCUACGGGAGGCAGCAGUGAGGAAUAUUGGUCAAUGUACGCGAGUCUGAACCAGCCAAGUAGCGUGCAGGAUGACUGCCCUAUGGGUUGUAAACUGCUUUUAUGCGGGAAUAAAGUCAGGUACGUGUACCUGUUUGUAUGUACCGCAUGAAUAAGGACCGGCUAAUUCCGUGCCAGCAGCCGCGGUAAUACGGAAGGUCCGGGCGUUAUCCGGAUUUAUUGGGUUUAAAGGGAGCGCAGGCGGGUUAUUAAGCGUGUUGUGAAAUGCGGCGGCUCAACCGUCGAAUUGCAGCGCGAACUGGUUACCUUGAGUGAGUACGACGUCAGCGGAAUUCGUGGUGUAGCGGUGAAAUGCUUAGAUAUCACGAAGAACUCCGAUUG